AGAGUUUGAUCCUGGCUCAGAACGAACGCUGGUGGCAUGCCUAACACAUGCAAGUCGAACGAGACCUUCGGGUCUAGUGGCGCACGGGUGCGUAACGCGUGGGAAUCUGCCCUCUGGUACGGAAUAACUCAGGGAAACUUGAGCUAAUACCGUAUAAUGACUUCGGUCCAAAGAUUUAUCGCCUGAGGAUGAGCCCGCGUAGGAUUAGCUUGUUGGUGAGGUAAAAGCUCACCAAGGCGACGAUCCUUAGCUGGUCUGAGAGGAUGAUCAGCCACACUGGGACUGAGACACGGCCCAGACUCCUACGGGAGGCAGCAGUGGGGAAUAUUGGACAAUGGGCGAAAGCCUGAUCCAGCAAUGCCGCGUGAGUGAUGAAGGCCUUAGGGUUGUAAAGCUCUUUUACCCGGGAUGAUAAUGACAGUACCGGGAGAAUAAGCCCCGGCUAACUCCGUGCCAGCCGCCGCGGUAAUAC
rnacentral:rRNA from 1 species